rnacentral:lncRNA from 1 species
CAACAUCGUGAGACCUUGUCUCAGCACAAAACAACAGAAAGAGAGAGGAAGGGGGCGGAGCUCUUCAAGGAGAACACAGUGCAUUGUUGGAUCAUGGCUGACAUCAGGCCUUCCUGGUCAUCGAGGAAGAGUUGCUUGCUGCUCCUGCUCCGGGUCUCCAAGAAAUUGGAAAGCCCUUGAUCUAUUUCCACAAAGGACAAGGAGUAAAACCCAGAGUAUUACCCCAAACUGAGCUCGAAGGUCACUCUCACUGAAACCCGACUCUACACAUGGGCCUGUGCAGGUGUUUGAUGGGUGAGCUUUCAACGUCAGAGGACCCAAAGCUCCACCCUGAAGUCACAUCGAUGCUACCACUUCCUGAAUGCUUCCCAAGAAGAAUUAUGAAAAUUGAUUAUUUAUACAAAAACUACCAAGCACUUCACCUCCAAUCACCUCUCCCCAGGCUUCAAUCACCCCACUUCCCACCAGUACCCAUCGAUGUUACCUGCAGUCUCCUGUCACCUCACAUGUGACCAGCUCAUAAGGAAACUGUCACUCUUUGGCAAAAUUAUUGUUUUAGUGACAGGCAGACUGCACAGCAGGCAAAACGGGCAUGGGUCCAUAAUGUUGGCUUCUGUAAAUAUGGGGCAGUCACUGUUUUCAUGACAUAAAAGGGAGGUCAUGGGUGGAGGACACAGGGCUGUGGCUUGGGAGGCUGAGUGUCCAACCUGGCCUCAUGCAAAUCAGUGUCCUGUGGAAGGGCAACUCAGCGAGAAAAUGAGGGUGGUCAGCUGGGUUUCCUCCCUCCCUAAGAGCCUCAAUUUAAAAUGCCCAAACUCUAAAAGUGAAUUCAGUCCCUUUGAAGAGUUACCCUCAAAUAAAAUAUUAACUUGUAAGUAAAAAUGACUCAUUUCUUCUCAGUGUAAUACUCUGAUGAAAUACUCACUUUAAUCUUAAUUUGCCC